UGGGGAAUUUUGCACAAUGGGCGAAAGCCUGAUGCAGCGACGCCGCGUGAGGGAUGGAGGCCUUCGGGUUGUGAACCUCUUUCGCUCAUGGUCAAGCCGCGCGUGUGCGUGUGGUGAGGGUAGUGGGUAAAGAAGCGCCGGCUAACUACGUGCCAGCAGCCGCGGUAAUACGUAGGGCGCGAGCGUUGUCCGGAAUUAUUGGGCGUAAAGGGCUUGUAGGCGGUUGGCCGCGUCUGCCGUGAAAUCCUCUGGCUUAACUGGGGGCGUGCGGUGGGUACGGGUUGACUUGAGUGCGGUAGGGGAGACUGGAAUUCCUGGUGUAGCGGUGGAAUGCGCAGAUAUCAGGAGGAACACCGGUGGCGAAGGCGGGUCUCUGGGCCGUUACUGACGCUGAGGAGCGAAAGCGUGGGGAGCGAACAGG
rnacentral:rRNA from 2 species